rnacentral:tRNA from 1 species
AAUGAAAUGCCUGACCAAAGGACUAUUUUGAUAGAAUAGAACACGUAACACACUUACUUUCAUUA